rnacentral:rRNA from 1 species
UGGGGAAUUUUGGACAAUGGGGGAAACCCUGAUCCAGCCAUCCCGCGUGUGCGAUGAAGGCCUUCGGGUUGUAAAGCACUUUUGGCAGGAAAGAAACGUCGCGGGUUAAUACCCCGCGAAACUGACGGUACCUGCAGAAUAAGCACCGGCUAACUACGUGCCAGCAGCCGCGGUAAUACGUAGGGUGCAAGCGUUAAUCGGAAUUACUGGGCGUAAAGCGUGCGCAGGCGGUUCGGAAAGAAAGAUGUGAAAUCCCAGAGCUUAACUUUGGAACUGCAUUUUUAACUACCGGGCUAGAGUGUGUCAGAGGGAGGUGGAAUUCCGCGUGUAGCAGUGAAAUGCGUAGAUAUGCGGAGGAACACCGAUGGCGAAGGCAGCCUCCUGGGAUAACACUGACGCUCAUGCACGAAAGCGUGGGGAGCAAACAGGAUUAGAUACCCUGGUAGUCCACGCCCUAAACGAUGUCAACUAGCUGUUGGGGCCUUCGGGCCUUGGUAGCGCAGCUAACGCGUGAAGUUGACCGCCUGAGGAGUACGGUCGCAAGAUUAAAACUUAAAUGAAUUGACGGGGUCAUA